rnacentral:rRNA from 1 species
GAGUUUGAUCCUGGCUCAGAGCGAACGCUGGCGGCAGGCCUAACACAUGCAAGUCGAACGGCUCUUCGGAGCAGUGGCGGACGGGUGAGUAACGCGUGGGAACGUGCCCUUUGGUUCGGAACAACACAGGGAAACCUGUGCUAAUACCGGAUGUGCCCUUCGGGGGAAAGAUUUAUCGCCAUUGGAGCGGCCCGCGUUGGAUUAGGUAGUUGGUGGGGUAAAGGCCCACCAAGCCUACGAUCCAUAGCUGGUCUGAGAGGAUGAUCAGCCACACUGGGACUGAGACACGGCCCAGACUCCUACGGGAGGCAGCAGUGGGGAAUCUUGCGCAAUGGGCGAAAGCCUGACGCAGCCAUGUCGCGUGAAUGAUGAAGGUCUUAGGAUUGUAAAAUUCUUUCACCGGGGAAGAUAAUGACGGUACCCGGAGAAGAAGCCCCGGCUAACUUCGUGCCAGCAGCCGCGGUAAUACGAAGGGGGCUAGCGUUGCUCGGAAUUACUGGGCGUAAAGGGCGCGUAGGCGGACAGUUUAGUCAGAGGUGAAAGCCCAGGGCUCAACCUUGGAAUUGCCUUUGAUACUGGCUGUCUUGAGUUCGGGAGAGGUGAGUGGAAUGCCGAGUGUAGAGGUGAAAUUCGUAGAUAUUCGGCGGAACACCAGUGGCGAAGGCGACUCACUGGCCCGAUACUGACGCUGAGGCGCGAAAGCGUGGGGAGCAAACAGGAUUAGAUACCCUGGU